ACUCCUGCGGGAGGCAGCAGUGGGGAAUUUUGGACAAUGGGCGAAAGCCUGAUCCAGCAAUGCCGCGUGCAGGAUGAAGGCCUUCGGGUUGUAAACUGCUUUUGUACGGAACGAAAAAGCUCCUUCUAAUACAGGGGGCCCAUGACGGUACCGUAAGAAUAAGCACCGGCUAACUACGUGCCAGCAGCCGCGGUAAUACGUAGGGUGCGAGCGUUAAUCGGAAUUACUGGGCGUAAAGCGUGCGCAGGCGGUUAUGUAAGACAGAUGUGAAAUCCCCGGGCUCAACCUGGGAACUGCAUUUGUGACUGCAUGGCUAGAGUACGGUAGAGGGGGAUGGAAUUCCGCGUGUAGCAGUGAAAUGCGUAGAUAUGCGGAGGAACACCGAUGGCGAAGGCAAUCCCCUGGACCUGUACUGACGCUCAUGCACGAAAGCGUGGGGAGCAAACAGGAUUAGAAACCCUGGUAGUCCCAUGA
rnacentral:rRNA from 1 species